rnacentral:rRNA from 1 species
AAGUUAAACGGCCGCGGUACCCUAACCGUGCGAAGGUAGCGCAAUCACUUGUUCUUUAAAUGAGGACUAGUAUGAACGGCAUCACGAAGGUUAUACUGUCUCCUUCCUCCAAUCAGUGAAACUGACCCCCCCGUGAAGAGGCGGGGAUAAAAAUAUAAGACGAGAAGACCCCAUGGAGCUUUAAACUCAGCAUCAAUUGCCCAACUUAAAUAUCAUUUUAAAUCAGCAAACCUGAUAGCUAGUUUUCGGUUGGGGUGACCACGGAGCAAAACAAAACCUCCAUGAUGAAAGGAUAGACCUCCUAAUCUAAGAGCUACAACUCAAAGAAUCAAUAAACUGACAUAACUUGAUCCAAUUAAUUUUGAUCAACGAACCAAGUUACCCUGGGGAUAACAGCGCAAUCCACUUCAAGAGCCCCUAUCGACAAGUGGGUUUACGACCUCGAUGUUGGAUCAGGGUAUCCCAGUGGUGCAGCCGCUACUAAUGGUUCGUUUGUUCAACGAUUAA